rnacentral:misc_RNA from 1 species
UUUCCGUAGGUGAACCUGCGGAAGGAUCAUUAUUGUAUAACCGAGGUGCGAGGGCUGUCGCUGACCCGAAAGGUCGUGCACGCACGGGUGCCCUCACACACAUCCAUCUCACCCCUAUGUGCACCACCGCGUGGGUCCCCCUUUGGCUUGUUCGGAGGGGGGCUUACGUUUUCACACAAACUUUGUAUGCAGUGUAGAAUGUAUUUUUUGUUUUUGCGAUCACGCAAUCAAUACAACUUUCAACAACGGAUCUCUUGGCUCUC